UACAGAGGGGGCAAGCGUUGUUCGGAAUUACUGGGCGUAAAGGGCGCGUAGGCGGCCGCCUAAGUCAGACGUGAAAUCCCUCGGCUUAACCGGGGAACUGCGUCUGAUACUGGAUGGCUGGAGUGUGGGAGAGGGAUGCGGAAUUCCAGGUGUAGCGGUGAAAUGCGUAGAUAUCUGGAGGAACACCGGUGGCGAAGGCGGCAUCCUGGACCAUUACUGACACUGAAAAGCGAAAGCCAGGGGAGCAAACGGG
rnacentral:rRNA from 1 species